rnacentral:rRNA from 1 species
CUUGGCGGCGAUAGUGCAGUGGACCCACCUAAUUCCAUGCCGAACUUAGAAGUGAAACGCUGUAACGCCGAUGGUAGU